rnacentral:rRNA from 1 species
GUGCCAGCCGCCGCGGUAAGACGAACCGUGCAAACGUUGUUCGGAAUCACUGGGCUUAAAGGGCGCGUAGGCGGCUCAGCAAGUCGGGGGUGAAAUCUUUCGGCUCAACCGGAAAAGUGCCUUCGAUACUGCGGAGCUCGAGGAAGAUAGGGGCCACGGGAACGACCAGUGGAGCGGUGAAAUGCGUUGAGAUUGGUAGGAACGCCGGUGGCGAAAGCGCGUGGCUGGAUCUUCCCUGACGCUGAGGCGCGAAAGCUAGGGGAGCAAACGGGAUUAGAUACCCCGGUAGUCC